rnacentral:rRNA from 1 species
GGCCUACCAUGGUGGUAACGGGUAACGGGGUGUUAGGGCACGACACCGGAGAGGGAGCCUGAGAAACGGCUACCACAUCCAAGGAAGGCAGCAGGCGCGCAAAUUACCCAAUCCCGACACGGGGAGGUAGUGACAAUAAAUAACAAUACAGGGUUCUUUUGGAUCUUGUAAUUGGAAUGAGUACAAUUUAAAUCUCUUAACGAGGAACAAUUGGAGGGCAAGUCUGGUGCCAGCAGCCGCGGUAAUUCCAGCUCCAAUAGCGUAUAUUAAAGUUGUUGCAGUUAAAAAGCUCGUAGUUGAAUUUCGGGAUCAAUGUUUCGGUCAUGCCGUUGGUAUGUACUGAUAUUAUUGAUUUCUCACCUUCUAAAGAACCGUAAUGCCAUUAAUUUGGUGUCACGGGGAAUUAGGACUGUUACCUUGAAAAAAUUAGAGUGUUUAAAGCAGGCUCACGCUUGAAUACAUUAGCAUGGAAUAAUGAAAUAGGACAUCCGAUUCUAUUUUGUUGGUUUCUAGGAUCGAUGUAAUGAUUAAUAGGGAUAGUUGGGGGCAUUAGUAUUCAAUUGUCAGAGGUGAAAUUCUUGGAUUUAUUGAAGACUAACUACUGCGAAAGCAUUUGCCAAGGAUGUUUUCAUUAAUCAAGAACGAAAGUUAGGGGAUCGAAGACGAUCAGAUACCGUCGGAGUCUUAACCAUAAACUAUGCCGACUAGGGAUCGGAUGAUGUUAAUUUUUUAAUGACUCAUUCGGCGCCUUACGGGAAACCAAAGUGUUUGGGUUC